AUUGGGUCCCUGCUGGCCCAGCUGCCUGUGGACGUUGUGAUUGGGAAGAUGCUGAUCCUGGGCUCCAUGUUCAGCCUGGUCGAGCCUGUGCUCACCAUCGCGGCCGCGCUCAGCGUCCAGUCGCCCUUCACCCGCAGCGCCCAGAGCAGCCCAGAGUGCGCGGCAGCACGACGGCCACUGGAGAGCGACCAGGGUGACCCCUUUACGCUCUUCAACGUCUUCAACGCCUGGGUGCAGGUGAAAUCUGAACGGAGCAGAAACUCUCGCAAGUGGUGCCGCCGCCGGGGCAUAGAGGAGCAUCGACUGUACGAGAUGGCCAACCUUCGGCGCCAGUUCAAGGAGCUGUUGGAGGACCACGGGCUGCUGGCUGGGGCCCAGGCUGCGCAGGUGGGGGACAGCUACAGUCGGCUGCAGCAGCGCCGGGAGCGCCGGGCCCUGCACCAGCUGAAACGCCAGCACGAGGAGGGCACGGGGCGCAGGCGCAAGGUGCUGCGGCUGCAGGAGGAGCAGGACGGCGGCUCCAGCGACGAGGACAGGGCUAGCCCAGCCCCCCCAGGGGCCAGUGAUGGCGUGGACAUCCAGGAUGUGAAGUUCAAGCUUCGGCAUGACCUGGCACAGCUGCAGGCCGCCGCCAGCUCAGCCCAGGACCUGAGCCACGAGCAGCUGGCUCUGCUGAAGCUGGUGCUGGGCCGGGGCCUGUAUCCGCAGCUGGCCAUCCCCGACGCCUUCAACAACAGCCGAAAGGACUCAGACCAGGUGGGGCCUGUUCUGCCCCGUCCUAUGUUUUGUCCUCCAACACAGGAACCCUGAGUGCCUGUCCUGUGCCGGGGAUGCAGUGGUGACUGAAACAACCCUGGUUCUGUCCCCAUGGGGCUCACAACCCAGUGGGAAGACAGACCCGUCCCCAGACAACCCAGAGUGGGCAGGGCUUGGGGAGUCAAGAGCACUAUAGGAGCCCACAGGGGGCAUCUGCCCCAGAUUUGGAGGAGUCAGGGAGGGCUUCCUGGAGGAGGGCACCUGGGCCAGAGGGUGGAGGAGAGGCAUCCUGGGCAGAGGAGAGAGCAGAUAGGAGGACCUGUGCUUUCUCUCCGCAGAUUUUCCACACGCAGGCCAAGCAGGGCGCCGUGCUGCACCCCACCUGUGUCUUCGCUGGCAGCCCCGAGGUGCUGCACACACAGGAGCUGGAGGCCAGCAGCUGCGAUGGAAGCCAAGGUACAGUGAGCCCAGGCAGAAGGAAACCCCAUCCGGGAUGUGAGGGGCAGGGAUACCGUGAACUCCCGGGCCCCUCUGGCUGGGGCUCCCACACCGGCCCAGGCUGGUAUUGACGGGGGCCCACAGGAGGGGAAGUUCCAGGGCCAGGCCUCCCUGGGUAGCCUUGGGUGACUCACCCCUGCUGGGCUUCACCCUCCCCAUGGUGGUGAUAGUCAACCUGAGCCAGUGUGGCUGUGCCCAGAGAGUGAGCACCAGUCAGGGGGCCUGUCCUAUGGACUCUGUGAGCUCCCAGCUGGGUCCUGCAGAGGGAGGCCCCCCUGGCACUCGUGUGCAUGGAAGGGUGUCUCGCUGCAGGCAUGGCUGCAUGCUGGGAGUCACAUUCAGAUUUGGCUGACCUUCUUGUCUGAGCCAGGCCACCAAAGCCAUGCUGUAAGCAUAUUCUUUCUACCGAUGUGUACUUUGACCAGGUGGGACAGGCGGGCUUCUGAUGGGCCUGGGUGGGCCAGGGUGGGCCUGAGCGGUCCUCCUCAACCUUUCAGACGACAAGGACAAGAUGAGCAGCAAACACCAGCUCCUCAGCUUCGUGUCCCUGCUGGAGACCAACAAGCCGUAUCUGGUGAACUGCGUCCGCAUCCCUGCCCUCCAGUCCCUCCUGCUUUUUAGCCGGUCUUUGGACACCAACGGUGACUGCUCCCGCCUGGUGGCCGAUGGCUGGCUGGAGCUGCAGCUGGCAGACAGUGAAAGUGCCGUCCGGCUCCUGGCGGCUUCCCUGCGGCUCCGUGCCCGCUGGGAAAGUGCCCUGGACCGGCAGCUGGUGCAUCAGGCCCAGCGGCGGCUGGAGGAGGAGGAGCAGGAUGUGCCAGUCAGCCCCAAGGAGGUGGCCACCCUGAGCAAGGAACUCCUGCAAUUCACGGCAUCCAAGAUUCCUUACAGCCUCCGGCGGCUCACAGGGCUAGAAGCCCAGAACAUGUAUGUGGGACCCCACACCAUCCCAGCCACCCCCCAUCUUCCUGGCCUCUUUGGCAGCUCCACCCUGUCCCCCCACCCCACCAAGGGGGGCUACGCAGUCACUGACUUCCUCACCUACAACUGCCUCACGGUGAGCAUGAACCCUCCUUCCCUGAAGGUGGGAUUUCAGGAAGACCCCACCCCUGACCCCACCACCCCGUUUCACCUUAGUCCAGGGAUGUGGUUCCCAAGUGGGGCCUGUGGCCCUGAGGGCUUCUGGGAAGGGUCCUGGGGGGGCACUUGGGUGGUGGGUGGCACUUGGCGGGGGCCCAGCCCUGACAGCUGGCCUGCCGCAGAGUGACACAGACCUGUACAGCGACUGUCUCCGAACCUUCUGGACCUGCCCCCAUUGUGGCCUGCACGCGCCCCUCACGCCCCUGGAGCGCAUCACCCAUGAGAACACCUGCCCCCAGGCCCCACAGGAUGGGCCCCCAGGUAAGCGCAGGACUGUGGGGACCCGGCCACCUCUGCCCAGCCGUCUGCCCAUCCCAUGAUGGUCUCCUGUGCGUGUGGGCACUUGCUAGAGCUUCGAGGACUGAUGACCUCCACCCGCUGGCCCUGGCUGGUGCCACACACAGACCUUGUCCUGAAGAUCAGGAGCCCAAGGCAGGGAGGGCCUGGAGCGCCACCUCUUUCUGUCUGCCUGUCCCCUGUGGUGUCUCUGUAUUGCUGUCUUUGUCU
rnacentral:sRNA from 1 species